UCCCUUGUGGCUCAGUUGGUAAAGAAUCCGCCUGCAAUGCGGGAGACCUGGGUUCAAUCCCUGGGUUGGGAA
rnacentral:tRNA from 1 species